GGAUGCGAUCAUACCAGCACUAAAGCACCGGAUCCGAUCAGAACUCCGAAGUUAAGCGUUCUUGGGCGAGAGUAGUACUAGGACACGCGAGAGUAGUACUAGGAUGGGUGACCUCCUAGAAAGUCCUCGUGUUGCAUUCC
rnacentral:rRNA from 2 species